rnacentral:rRNA from 1 species
AUUGAACGCUGGCGGCAGGCCUAACACAUGCAAGUCGAGCGAGUGGCGGACGGGUGAGUAAUGUAUGGGAAACUGCCUGAUGGAGGGGGAUAACUACUGGAAACGGUGGCUAAUACCGCAUACCAUCGGAUGUGCCCAGAUGGGAUUAGCUAGUAGGUGGGGUAAAGGCUCACCUAGGCGACGAUCCCUAGCUGGUCUGAGAGGAUGACCAGCCACACUGGAACUGAGACACGGUCCAUACUCCUACGGGAGGCAGCAGUGGGGAAUAUUGCACAAUGGGCGCAAGCCUGAUGCAGCCAUUCCGCGUGUAUGAAGAAGGCCUUCGGGUUGUAAAGUACUUUCAGCGGGGAGGCGUUACCCGCAGAAGAAGCACCGGCUAACUCCGUGCCAGCAGCCGCGGUAAUUC